GUGCUUGCUUCAGCAGUACAUAUACUAAAAUAGGAACAGUACAGAGAAGACUAGCAUGGACCCUGCACAAGGAUGACACGCAAAUUCAUGAAGCGAAUAUAUAAUAU
rnacentral:snRNA from 1 species